AUUGAACGCUGGCGGCAGGCCUAACACAUGCAAGUCGAACGGUAACAGGAAGCAGCUUGCUGCUUCGCUGACGAGUGGCGGACGGGUGAGUAAUGUCUGGGAAGCUGCCUGAUGGAGGGGGAUAACUACUGGAAACGGUAGCUAAUACCGCAUAAAUGUCGCAAGACCAAAGAGGGGGACCUUCGGGCCUCUUGCCAUCGGAUGUGCCAGAUGGGAUUAGCUUGUUGGUGGGGUAACGGCUCACCAAGGCGACGAUCCCUAGCUGGUCUGAGAGGAUGACCAGCCACACUGGAACUGAGACACGGUCCAGACUCCUACGGAGGCAGCAGUGGGAAUAUUGGCACAAUGGGCGCAAGCCUGAUGCAGCCAUGCCGCGU
rnacentral:rRNA from 1 species